GUAAAGAGCUCGUAGGCGGUUUGUCGCGUCUGCCGUGAAAGUCCGGGGCUCAACUCCGGAUCUGCGGUGGGUACGGGCAGACUAGAGUGAUGUAGGGGAGACUGGAAUUCCUGGUGUAGCGGUGAAAUGCGCAGAUAUCAGGAGGAACACCGAUGGCGAAGGCAGGUCUCUGGGCAUUAACUGACGCUGAGGAGCGAAAGCAUGGGGAGCGAACAGGAUUAGAUACCCUGGUAGUCCAUGCCGUAAACGUUGGGCACUAGGUGUGGGGGACAUUCCACGUUUUCCGCGCCGUAGCUAACGCAUUAAGUGCCCCGCCUGGGGAGUACGGCCGCAAGGCUAAAACUCAAAGGAAUUGACGGGGGCCCGCACAAGCGGCGGAGCAUGCGGAUUAAUUCGAUGCAACGCGAAGAACCUUACCAAGGCUUGACAUGAACCGGUAAUACCUGGAGACAGGUGCCCCGCUUGCGGUCGGUUUACAGGUGGUGCAUGGUUGUCGUCAGCUCGUGUCGUGAGAUGUUGGCUUAAGUCCCGCAACGAGCGCAACCCUCGUUCUAUGUUGCCAGCACGUGAUGGUGGGGACUCAUAGGAGACUGCCGGGGUCAACUCGGAGGAAGGUGGGGACGACGUCAAAUCAUCAUGCCCCUUAUGUCUUGGGCUUCACGCAUGCUACAAUGGCCGGUACAAAGGGUUGCGAUACUGUGAGGUGGAGCUAAUCCCAAAAAGCCGGUCUCAGUUCGGAUUGGGGUCUGCAACUCGACCCCAUGAAGUCGGAGUCGCUAGU
rnacentral:rRNA from 1 species